GAUGUUUUGAUGUGAGAUUUGUCGUGACCUCAGCAGGUGGCGAGAGCACAGUCGAAACAAGUUAAACGCAAAUUAAUGGACAUGGUCGAUGGAAAGGCACAUCGUCCAACCGACUGCCGGCGGGCGCAUGCAGUGGGUACCAGUUAAACUCCAUGCAGCCCCUGCUAAUUCCUACAUCGCGAAAGAAAAUUCGUCAACAUUGAGGAACCAGGAAGAUUUUCCCGGAAGCAUCUCCUGACUAUUGUUUGAAACCAAUACCUCGUGCAGGCGCAGUUAACAGAGAAAAUUCAGAAGAUACCCUAGGUUCUAAAGCAAUCGCUCAACGAACAACACCGGAAUAGUAAAAGUUAACUCAGCAUCGUGGUGUGAGCUACCGUUUUCCUAGAUGAGGUGACCGAGAGAAGCACGCCCAUUCUGCGCCGAAGAGUUUCCGACAGGAACUGAAACGGAUACUUGGAUUUCGGUAACAGGUUCAGUGCCAGGAUCAUACGGUGCCACCCCAAACGGAGAUGUUGACGAUCGUGCCAAUAAGCAAACGGAAAGCAUUUGUCUGAUGAAUUAUUCGGGAUCGCAGGGGAAUGGAUGGCCGCAAGACAUGGUCGGAAGGAGAAUUGCCAAAAUUGAGCCUGCUUGUGGAAUCGUGGACUUGAGUGCACUAGGAGAGUCAGUCGUUAUAAAAGCAUCCGCUUGUGAAAACUUGAGGUCCAACUGACGAAGAGUAUUUAUACAAAUAAUUGAAACUGGAAUGAAAAACAUAUCGCUCAUAGAACUGUAAUCUUAAGUUUAGCUUUCUGUGUAAUACCUACUUGAAAAGCGCAUGAUGAUCCAAAAUAAACCUUUAAGGAUACUA